UACGUAGGGUGCGAGCGUUGUCCGGAAUUACUGGGCGUAAAGAGCUUGUAGGUGGUUUGUCGCGUUGUUCGUGAAAUCUCACGGCUUAACUGUGAGCGUGCGGGCGAUACGGGCAGACUAGAGUACUGCAGGGGAGACUGGAAUUCCUGGUGUAGCGGUGGAAUGCGCAGAUAUCAGGAGGAACACCGGUGGCGAAGGUGGGUCUCUGGGCAGUAACUGACGCUGAGAAGCGAAAGCGUGGGGAGCGAACAGG
rnacentral:rRNA from 1 species